AUUGAACGCUGGCGGCAGGCUUAACACAUGCAAGUCGAGCGGGGGAAGGUAGCUUGCUACUGGACCUAGCGGCGGACGGGUGAGUAAUGCUUAGGAAUCUGCCUAUUAGUGGGGGACAACAUCUCGAAAGGGAUGCUAAUACCGCAUACGUCCUACGGGAGAAAGCAGGGGAUCUUCGGACCUUGCGCUAAUAGAUGAGCCUAAGUCGGAUUAGCUAGUUGGUGGGGUAAAGGCCUACCAAGGCGACGAUCUGUAGCGGGUCUGAGAGGAUGAUCCGCCACACUGGGACUGAGACACGGCCCAGACUCCUACGGGAGGCAGCAGUGGGGAAUAUUGGACAAUGGGGGGAACCCUGAUCCAGCCAUGCCGCGUGUGUGAAGAAGGCCUUAUGGUUGUAAAGCACUUUAAGCGAGGAGGAGGCUACUUUAGUUAAUACCUAGAGAUAGUGGACGUUACUCGCAGAAUAAGCACCGGCUAACUCUGUGCCAGCAGCCGCGGUAAUACAGAGGGUGCGAGCGUUAAUCGGAUUUACUGGGCGUAAAGCGCGCGUAGGCGGCUUAUUAAGUCGGAUGUGAAAUCCCCGAGCUUAACUUGGGAAUUGCAUUCGAUACUGGUGAGCUAGAGUAUGGGAGAGGAUGGUAGAAUUCCAGGUGUAGCGGUGAAAUGCGUAGAGAUCUGGAGGAAUACCGAUGGC
rnacentral:rRNA from 1 species